rnacentral:snoRNA from 1 species
CUGCAUCUCCGACGCACCUGGAGCAGUUAAUGCCUGCUGCUCAGGUGUCCACUGCAGAUGCAAGAAAAAGAAAGUCCUCGCGCUUUCCGUCUGUCUGGUUGCGGCAGCCAAGACCGAACGGGGGAAUACAGGA